CAAGUCUUUAAGAGCAAACGGUGGAUGCCUUGGCAUCUGGAGCCGAAGAAGGACGUAGCAAUCUGCGAUAAGCCUCGGGGAGUGGAUAAGCACACUUUGAUCCGAGGGUCUCCGAAUGGGGAAACCCCGCUGGGCGGCGUGCCGACCCGGUGACUCCCGCCUGAAUAUAUAGGGCGGGUAGAGGGAACGUGGGGAAGUGAAACAUCUCAGUACCCACAGGAAGAGAAAGCAACCGCGAUUCCGUUAGUAGUGGCGAGCGAAACCGGAACAGGCUAAACCGAGUACGUGUGAUAUCCGGCAGGAGUUGCGUAUUCGGGGUUGUGGGACUUUUCAGGCUGCUCUGCCGAGCAGCCGGCGUUACAAGAAGGUAUAGACGAACUGGAUUGAAAGCCAGGUCAUAGAGGGUGCCAACCCCGUAGUCGAAAUGCCUCCCUUGACGCGAAGAGUAUCCCAAGUAGCACGGGGCCCGAGAAAUCCCGUGUGAAUCUGUCAGGACCACCUGAUAAGCCUAAAUACUCCCAGAUGACCGAUAGCGGACAAGUACCGUGAGGGAAAGGUGAAAAGUACCCCGGGAGGGGAGUGAAAUAGUACCUGAAACCGUUUGCUUACAAACCGUUGGAGCAGCCCUAGCAGCUGUGACAGCGUGCCUUUUGAAGAAUGAGCCUGCGAGUUAGUGAUACGUGGCGAGGUUAACCCGUGAGGGGUAGCCGUAGCGAAAGCGAGUCUGAAUAGGGCGAUUUAGUUAGUUUGAGUAGACGCGAAACCGUGUGAUCUACCCUUGGGCAGGUUGAAGCUUUGUUAACCCAAAGUGGAGGACCGAACCCGUUGACGUUGAAAAGUCUUGGGAUGACCUGAGGGUAGGGGUGAAAGGCCAAUCAAACUCCGUGAUAGCUGGUUCUCCCCGAAAUGCAUUUAGGUGCAGCGUUGCGUGUUUCUUGCCGGAGGUAGAGCUACUGGAUGGCCGAUGGGCCCUACAAGGUUACUGACGUCAGCCAAACUCCGAAUGCCGGUAAGUGAGAGCGCAGCAGUGAGACUGUGGGGGAUAAGCUUCAUAGUCGAGAGGGAAACAACCCAGACCACCAACUAAGGUCCCAAAGCGCGUGCUAAGUGGGAAAGGAUGUGGAGUUGCUGAGACAACCAGGAGGUUGGCUUAGAAGCAGCCACCCUUGAAAGAGUGCGUAAUAGCUCACUGGUCAAGUGAUUCCGCGCCGACAAUGUAACGGGGCUCAAGCACGCCACCGAAGUUGUGGCAUUGACAUUAUUGGUAGGCCUUCGUGGUCCAGCCGUGUUGAUGGGUAGGAGAGCGUCGUGUGGCCAGCGAAGCGGCGGUGUGAACCAGCCGUGGAGGCUACACGAGUGAGAAUGCAGGCAUGAGUAGCGAAAGACAUGUGAGAAACAUGUCCUCCGAAAGACCAAGGGUUCCAGGGUCAAGCUAAUCUUCCCUGGGUAAGUCGGGACCUAAGGCGAGGCCGACAGGCGUAGUCGAUGGACAACGGGUUGAUAUUCCCGUACCGGCGAAGAACCGCCCAAACUAAUCCAGUGGUGCUAAGUGCCCGAAUUCCUCUGCAUCGAUCCCUUCGGGGUGAGAGCGGUGGAGCUAGCGCACGACCCCAUGCUGGUGCGGUUAGCGUAUUAACAGGUGUGACGCAGGAAGGUAGCCCAACCCGGGCGAUGGUUGUCCCGGGGCAAGUGCGUAGGCCGAGAGAUAGGCAAAUCCGUCUCUCACAUAGGCUGAGACACGAUGCGGAUAAAAAGUGGGUGAUCCUAUGCUGCCAAGAAAAGCAUCGACGCGAGGUUCUAGCCGCCCGUACCCCAAACCGACUCAGGUGGUCAGGUAGAGAAUACCAAGGAGAUCGAGAGAAUCGUGGUUAAGGAACUCGGCAAAAUGCCCCCGUAACUUCGGGAGAAGGGGGGCCUUCGGCGUAUUAGGACUUGCUCCGAAAGCGUUUGGAGGCCGCAGAGACUAGUGGGUAGCGACUGUUUAUUAAAAACACAGGUCCGUGCCAAGUCGCAAGACGAUGUAUACGGACUGACGCCUGCCCGGUGCUGGAAGGUUAAUUGAUGGGGUUAGCGUAAGCGAAGCUCUUGAUCGAAGCCCCAGUAAACGGCGGCCGUAACAAUAACGGUCCUAAGGUAGCGAAAUUCCUUGUCGGGUAAGUUCCGACCUGCACGAAUGGAGUAACGACUUCCCCGCUGUCUCAACCAUGAACUCGGCGAAAUUGCAUUACGAGUAAAGAUGCUCGUUACGCGCAGAAGGACGG
rnacentral:rRNA from 1 species